AUGCAGAACCUCUUUGAAACUGAAUCCAUCUUGUGUGCUGGAAAAGGUCUCCCAUCCUUGCUGCAAAGGACAUCAGUCUCUGUUCGUGAGACCUCAAGGAAGCAAAAUCAGGAGGAAGGGCAAAGUCAGGAAACUGAGUCUGCUCUUCUCUUAAGACUGGAGAGCAAAACCCUGCCAGAGGCAUACGAAAAAAAAAUGCAAGGCCAGAUUCUUGAGGUCCUGCCUAGAUGCCUGAAUUUUGAGAGACAAAAAUGUGAUACAGUUGAUGAAGAAUCUUCCAAAAUUGCUGUGCCUUACCUUACAGGACUCAGGCUUUGGGAUUCUGGAGACAAGACUGCCACACCAGUCACUGACCUGUGGUGGAGGACUGGCCAUGUGGGCUGGUCACCAUCUGAAUUUGACCAUAGCUAUUCAAGGCCCUAACACCAAGCAUCGUCUAUUAUCUGCACCAGAUAUAAUACAGUUACCGUAAAAUUGGAUAGCAGAGAAAGGCUUCCUAGCGGUGGUUAAGCCAAUUGCCAACAUUAUUUUAAGUGUAAACUAUUGUCUCUUAAAUGUGGACAGGAAAAGAGAAUCGUUUAGAACAUAGGGAUGUUUAUAAAAAUGGCCCAGAUUCAAUGCAGUAGGUGUUGGGGGGAGCUGAAUUGGAUUUCCUGCUGAGACAGUGGCAGAGCAUAUUGAACUCCUGAAAUCAAUGAUGCAGAAAUUGUGGGUUUAUUAUUGCUUUAAUUAUGUCAUAAAUUGCUACUGAAAAACCUACUGUUGCUCAGGAACCUACUUCUUCCUCUCUUUUUUGAUAGUAGCCAAGGGUUCACAUAUAAACCAGACAAGCUAACCUGAGGAAGGAGCCCAAUUACAGGCCCUCACAGAUGAUUCCUUGGUGGGCAAAUGGUGGCCUAUGAAUCACAUGCAGUCCCCUCUCUGGAUUAGCUAUUUGGUCUGAUCUGUUUCCCAACGGUUUCAAUUGCUGUGUAUGCCCAAAUGGCACAUUGCACUGCUAGAAGCCUCAAAACAUCCGACUGGCUGUUUAAACAUAAUUCCCACUUUCUUUAAGCAUUACCAGAGAGUGGAUGCUCAAUUAUUGUUUCUUUAAAAAGUAAAGCCUAAAACAGGGUACGAGACAGGGGGAGAGGCAAAAUUAAGUUUACGUGGCAUAGCAUUCCUCACAAAGGCUCCUGGGACAUGUAGCGUGCCACUUAGGGGGCAAAAAUAUUGGGGUUUUAGAAUGCAGAGUCUCCGUGGGAAUAUAAGCUUUCCAAAGCUGGAGGAAGGGGCAACAUUGCCCUAGGUUUGAGGGAGGACAAGUGUAGUAAAGCAGGGCCCCGUCUGGUUUUAAGAUGUCACAGAAGCAUGGAAUUGUAGACUUAGGUGAAAUCCAAAGAAUCAUCAGGUCCAAUACUGCAGUUGUCCCCAACCUUUUUGGGGCCAUGGACUGGCUGGGGGGGGAGUGAGCUCCUUGUGUGUGGGGGCAGAGGCACCCCGUGCAAGCGUGGUGGGUAUGUCACGCUCACGGGGGGCGUAACAUGCCCAAUGUGGGCACGAUACCCCCCACGCGUGCAUGCAGGGGGCGGAGAUCAUUAUCCAUGGCCCAGUUCCAGCAAGCCCACGGACCAGCACUGGGCCGCAGACCGGGGGUUGACGGCCCCUGCAACACUGUGCUCCCAAAGCAGCAAAUCCACAGCAAAAGCAUUCCUAAAAGGUGGUCAUGUCCCCUCAGAGAGUCCAGCACCCUCCAAGGCAGAUGCAGGAGCAGGUGAGACCUUUAAUCGGCCAUUAAGAAUCUAGAUGUUCCAAAGGUAAAGAGGAGGCGGCGGGCACUCGUGAGCUUUCAGCAGAACGAAUGCUUCCUCUGAUUCUGCAUCCUUCCACGGCAUAACUUCCUGUGACAAAGCAGUUUUUCGGCUGUACGUGCAGAGCUUGGCAAGCAGGAGCUAGUGGUGGGAGGAAGAGAGAUGGCAGGCUCACACAUGCUCUUUUAUUUUUCUCUUGCUUCUCUGACUUGCUGCCCUCUAGCUNNNNNNNNNNNNNNNNNNNNNNNNNNNNNNNNNNCAUCUACAAGUUUCAGGUCUUCCGCACAUCGGAAGUUGCUUAUUUGUGGAGGAAAACAUCCCGGUUUGUUUAUUUACUUUUGCACUGUUUCUGGCUUCUGAGGACUGCUUCAUUGUGACUGCUCCCAUUCAAAGGCCAGAGAAUAUAAAGAGGCUUUCUUCUUUUUUCCCCCCCUUCCAUUUCCCCGCCCCUCACUUUUGUCCUGCAGAGGGUAAUUUUUAUUCAAGUGCUAUGAAUAAUGUGAGCAGGGUACCAAUGGCAGACAAAGGGUCCCAUCCAGAGCUGGCCAAGCGUACAGCUGCCUUUUUGUUUAAAAAGAUGGGCCAUGUAACCUCCGAGGUGGAGUACAAUGAGCAAGACUAUCGAAGCAGCCUGAGAGCUGGCGUGACUCCGCUUUCCAGGAGACGAGUAACCUUUCGUAAACAUAAAUCAUGUCAGCUCCUACCAAGAGCCUUUCUGAGGUUAACAAAAGCCUCCGGACUUUGCCACUCAAGCGACAAGGCAAAAGGGAAUAAUGUUCAAGUGGCACCAGAGAUGAGAACAUAGGUCGUUUGAGGGAGCCGUGGUUAUCUUAGGUUGUUAAAGCAACAAGGUUUACUUCCAAUUAUAAUUAUUUUGUUGGCUACUCAACACGGCUUCUUUGAAACUUUCAUUCCAAUAUGCAAGAUCGGUCAAGACUAACCUGUCAAGAUACCAUCCAUUUGCCAUAUCAGCCAAGAUACCAUAAAAUCAAGGACAAGAUUGGCAAGGCGCUAAUUUGUAGUUUGGUGGCCUAAAUCCAAUUGCUUGUUCCAAUUAGAGAAGAAUCAUCUGAAUGAACAGCUGAACUCAGUUGGAUAAAUCUCAUUCAUUCAAUGGGUCUACUUGAUUUGAGACUAGCAAACUGAUUUAUAGCAUUACAAUACUCACAUUCUCAACAUGCAUUCAUUUUUGCAUUCCAUGUACGCUAUGAAUAUUGUGGCUAGAAAGCAAGCUGGACAGAAAGAUGAGAAAGGAAUUAAUCAGAGAUCUAUGUGAAAUCACAGAAUAAGAAUUCAUCAUGGGAUUCCACUCUUAGCUCUUGUGGCUUAAUUCUCAACAGAGACUCUUUUUUUGUACCAAGUAGCUGAUCUAUGCAAGCAUGAUAAUGUUACUAGUUGAAUACUGUUUGUUAAUGGCCGUUGUUAAAUCAAUGAUCACUGCACUUUUUUGUAUUUUAGUUUCCUCCAAAUCCUUUGAUGAUAAUUCUGUGGGUGAGAAACAACUGAGCCUUUCAUGAAAUUCUGUGAAUGAGGUUCACCGCAAAUGACUAAGUAGGAACAACCAAUCACCAGGUUUAGAUGGUAUCCAUCUAAGAGUUCUUAAAUAACCUAGAUGUGAAGUAGCUGAUUUUCUAAUAAAAACAAAAACAUUUCCUGCA
rnacentral:lncRNA from 1 species